rnacentral:lncRNA from 1 species
AGACUGAGACAGCUCCGCUGCCCGCUGAACUCCAUCCUCCCGGCCAAAACCAAGCUUCUUAACAAAGAUCCUGAAGUGUUGAGUUUACUAAUUUAGUUAGGAACUUUCCAAUUUAGCUUUUGCUUUUAACCAGAUUAUUGAGUUCAGGGUGGAGCUCAUUGACAAAUAAGGCAGACAAAGCAUUUUCUGUGUCUGGGCUCAGCAUACAUAGCUCUGAGCUUAAUAAUUUGACUAGGGCAUAAAGGUGGUUAAAGAAGCAAACUUGACUGACUUGAGG